rnacentral:lncRNA from 10 species
GAACAAAGAAUGUAACAAUAAUCAGCUUCUCACAAUCAAAAUCUAAGGAUAUUAAGGUGAGAGGGAAGCUUAGGGACCUAAUCAAAGUCCCUCAUUUUAAAAGAAAACUGAAAUUCAGGAAAAUGAAGUGACCCAUCCAAGGCCAAUCUAGGUCCAUUCUCUACCUCAUGAACACCAAGGAUCAGGACUUCUAUGAACCAAGGAUGGAGAACCAAAUUAUCUAUAAUAAGGAAUUUCAAACAGAAGGAAUUUGAGGAAAAAGAAACUACUUCGGCCAAUGAACAACUACAGAGACCUAGACCUGCACAGAAGAUAGUACAGGGCAUUCUGAACAAGAGAAGAAGGACAACCGAGGAGAAGGCGGAAGAAAAGGUGAUCAAACCAGAAGAGGCAGGACCAGUAAGCUUCCUAAGAAAACUCUGCUCCUCCCCCUGGGGAGAAAGUGAAUUUUUGGCCCUCUACCCAACCUAGUUAUUUUCCUUAGUAUUAGAGAUAGCAUUGUCCUUUAGAUUACUUCUUUCUGGAAAUGAUUUUCUAAAUUUUAAUUAAAACUAAACCCUUUACAAUGAAGCCUUACUAUUACAUUCUAAAUUAAACAAAUAAAAACAUAUAUCCAAAUGUAUUUAAAAUGGGGCAAUGGAAGGAUAUGGUAAAGCUAUGUGACAGGCUGAAUGAAUUUUAAUGUCAUCCUGGAACUUGACUGUAUGUAGUGCUUUUGUCCGUUUCAUGGGAGAACCUGCUGUUGGGCAUAUAUGCUUAUAAAGCCUCUUGAUGAACUUCCUUCAGUGGGUUUUAGUCACUAACGUACUAAAAUAAGAUCUGAAAAUGAUUAAAUUGCAAGGUAUUUCAACCACGGUUUUCUCAUGACACAGGCUCUGCUUUACCUUACAGCUGGUUCCAGUGUCCACGAAUGAAUUUUCUAUGAACCUCACAUAUGUUACCCCCUUCCCAAAAGCCAAACCAAUUUAGAGAGAACACAGGGAAAAUGAUCCUUUUCUUUAUUUCUGGAAAUACGUGCUAUGCGGAAAAAGUUUCUAUCCAGAGGGAAAACUUCUGGAUUUUACUGGCUCACUGAAAUAUAAACCAUUUAGUGGCUUUUUUCUUUAAACCCAAGAUUAAGCUUUCUUUCGUCUGUUUGCACAUGUCAACCAAAAAUAGCAGAGUAUAUAUAAGAAAAACACUGUUUGUAUAAAAAUGAAAAUUUAUACCCCAAAAGCCAUGAUCUCCUUUUGCUGAAGUGUUGUUUCAUGAAUUUUUUUAUUCAGGUGGUUUAUUAGAUUACUGUAAUAACAUGAAAGAGAAUAGUGAUUCCCUAUCAACCCUGAAAAUUCUCACAAAAUUUGCAAGGGGAUCACUAAAGAUAAGUGACUGCUGACAGCUCAGGGCUAGCAAUUGCACAGAAACCCAGCCAGGUAAAUAAAUAUGUUCACUGAGAUUUAAUAUUCUGUUACAGUAUAAAAAAAUUAAUAACUCUUUUAAUUGACAGAUUCUUUAUUUCCUUUUACCAAGGUAUAGAUGGCCCCCUAAAUAACCUCUAGAUGUAUUAAAUCUUGGCAGCAUACAGCUAUUUCCUCUGUGGUCUUCAAGGUCCUGACACCCUUCAUCUUACACAAGGCAGCGUAUUUAAAUCUUUCAAGGGGCCUUUUAUAACUGGGCCACCCUGUUUCUCUUCACAGGAGAUACUGAAAGCCUAUUU